GAAGGACGACAUAUGCGCUCUGGACAUCGCUUCGAUUCGACUCGACCUCACUCGCCUGAAGCUAUCAAAACACACAGAUUCCUUUUCCAUCACCGGAGAGGUUCUUUUCGUCUUCUUUUGCUGAGAGUAAAAAAUACGAACAGAUAAUUCGAAUGUUCCAUGGGGUCAAAGUGUUUUAAAGAGGAACGAAGCCCUCCAA